rnacentral:misc_RNA from 1 species
GAUGAAGAACGCAGCGAAAUGCGAUAAGUAGUGUGAAUUGCAGAAUUCAGUGAAUCAUCGAAUCUUUGAACGCACAUUGCGCCCCUUGGUAUCCCGAGGGGCAUGCCUGUUCGAGCGUCAUUUCACCACUCAAGCCUGGCUUGGUGUUGGGCGACGUCCUCUUUGGGGACGCGCCUCGAAACGCUCGGCGGCGUGGCACCGGCUUUAAGCGUAGCAGAAUCUUUCGCUUUGGAAGUCGGGGCCCCGUCUGCCGGAAGACCUGCUCGCAAGGUUGACCUCGGAUCAGGCAGGGAUACCCGCUGAACUUAAGCAUUCAAUAAGCGGAGGA